AUUGAACGCUGGCGGCAUGCUUUACACAUGCAAGUCGAACGGUAACAGGCCUUCGGGUGCUGACGAGUGGCGAACGGGUGAGUAAUGCAUCGGAACGUGCCCAAUCGUGGGGGAGUAACGUAGCGAAAGUUACGCUAAUACCGCAUAAGCCCUGAGGGGGAAAGCAGGGGAGUCGCAAGACCUUGCGCGAAUGGAGCGGCCGAUGUCAGAUUAGCUAGUUGGUGGGGUAAAGGCCUACCAAGGCGACGAUCUGUAGCGGGUCUGAGAGGAUGAUCCGCCACACUGGGACUGAGACACGGCCCAGACUCCUACGGGAGGCAGCAGUGGGGAAUUUUGGACAAUGGGCGCAAGCCUGAUCCAGCCAUGCCGCGUGCGGGACGAAGGCC
rnacentral:rRNA from 1 species